rnacentral:rRNA from 1 species
GACGAACGCUGGCGGCGUGCUUAACACAUGCAAGUCGAACGGAAAGGCCCUGCUUUUUUGGUGUGCUCGAGUGGCGAACGGGUGCGUAACACGUGAGUAACCUACCCUUGCCUUUGGGAUAGCUUCAGGAAGCUGAGGCUAAUACCUGAUAGGAGCUCCCGCAGCAUGGUGGGGGUGGGAAAGUUUCGGCGGUUGGGGAUGAACUCGCGGCUUAUCAGCUGGUUGGUGGGGUAGUGGCUUACCAAGGCUGUGACGGGUAGCCGGCCUGAGAGGGUGACCGGCCACAUUGGGACUGAGAUACGGCCCAGAGUCAUACGGGAGGCAGGGGUGGGGAACAUUGGACAAUGCGCGGCAGCCUGAUUGAGGGACGCCGGGUGCGGGAUGACUGCUUUUGGGUAGUAAACCGCUUCCGGCUGUUACGAAGCGUGAGUGACGGUAACGGAUAAAGAAGCACCGGCUAACUACGUG